rnacentral:lncRNA from 1 species
ACUUAAUAGAUAAUUUGUGCGUGUAUAUAUAAGCAAUAUAUCAUCCAUACAUAGGUUCACAAGUGCAGGACAUCCAAAAGCACAAAGAUCCGUCAUGCAUGCAUAUAUGCACACAUAGGCAUACAAGUCCAGUGACAGAACAAGCUAAAAGCACAACCAUCCAUCCGGUCUACAUGCACACAUGCAUACAUAUGUACGUUCAUAUGCCAGUAUUACAUCACAGACAAAAGCGCAAAAUAUAAGAUCUGCCUUUAGGUAGAAACCUAUUCCAGCAGAAGAUCCUUUUAGCUCAGCAAACGCACCUCUAGAAACUUGUGGAUGCAAAGGCAUUAUAAUGGUGACCUGUAAUAAAAAGGAAAUGGCCAAAUAGAUCAGCUCAGAAGAACACAUGUUCCAAACAUAGAAGUUGCAUGGCUGAAAAAGAAAAUUGGCUCAUCCAAAUGAAAAAAGACACAUGUGUGUCGCCCUGUACUUUGCAUUCCACAAGGCACAAAUAGAAUGUGUGUAUGUACUCAUAAGAACAGAUUAUGCACUAUGUAUGGAUCACCAGAAAGAUCGAUAUAACCUAUCACUAUAAAUAUUUACCAGUAGUCAUCUUCUUUUGGUGUAUUGAUUUCUCUUGAUUGCUGUCAAGUUAAUAGAACAUCCAAAAAACUGCAGGUAAGGAUUAAUUACUAGCAAUCUAGUGGCAACACAAGGUGUCCUCCGUUCUACUUUUUUGUACAUGGUUGUUCUGAAUAAGUGUGUAGUAGUGCUAGACAGUGAGAAUCAAUAAUUAUGAGAAUGUAUACCAACUGAACAGCCCUUUCAUUAAAUCUGCUGCUUGGUUUUAGAAAAAAGUGUUGAUUCAACAAAAAGAAGAAGAAUUUGCAGGCACAUAAAUCAUUUGCUGAAAUGAAUAUAGGUUGCUCAAAGUAAGAGAAUGUUGGUUUGCUGAACAUAUAGUUGCGUGGUCCCUCUUGUUAAUCCAUGAUGUUUAUACAACUGUGUGCAAAGUUUAAGUAGUAGCUGCAUAAUUGUUUAAGAAACAGAGUUGCUUGUUGAGUCAGAAUGAAAGGAGUUAAGCACGUGUUUAAAAAUAGGCGCAUUUUUAAUCUACUGGGAAGACCAAAAAAAGUACUCAGGAGAAAAUAGGAAACUUGUAGGUUCCUACUUUCAAACACAUGCUUGACUUUGACUCAGAAAAAUAAUAAAUCUUCAGCAUGUGAGAGGAGAAACAUAUCUUGCUAGCUCCCAGAGUGUCGGUGCUUGCUACUUCAAUCCUAGAACUAAAUCGACAUGGAGAGAAACGAGUGUUUCUAUAGAAUGGCAAGCUAUGGUUGCUAUUCAGACAAGAUGGCAAGCUAUGAUUGCUUUUCAAUAGAAUGGCCCUUGUGAUCAGAAGUAUUUUUUGCAAGACCUAGUUCAUUAUACGCCUUGUCUAUAUACUAAUGGAAUUUUUUAUCUUUUCUUUAGUGUAAUAUUCAAGAAUUCUAAGAAGAUGCAGUACCUUCUAGAUGUGGGGACCGCCACCUGCUAUCAUGGUUGCUUCUGCAUAACUUUACAAACAACCUCGGUC